rnacentral:lncRNA from 1 species
UGAAGUAUUUGUCUUGGGCAACUGUAUCUGCAUGUCUUGGGCAACCUUGUGUCUAUCUUGGGCAGUCUGUGUCAGGACACAGCCAAGGAACUGCCAACGAAGACCUUCCCGGGGCAGAACAAAAGCUAUUCGGAGGCAUGUCAUUUAGUGUUAUCAGUUUACUGGACUUUGUGAGAGUUCUCUUGCAAAAUGUUUGCCAAGGUGGCGAUCGAAGGUGGACAGCAAGAUCGAAGCUCAGCAAGAUAGAAGAUUGUUCGAGGAAGAAGGAGUUCGCCGUUGACUAAAAGGUUUAUCUGAACAGCUAGUUGUCAAGAUGAAGGUGACUCGCCCGGCCAAAUUCAAAAUGGCGAUGCCAAAGAAAACCAUCCACGUGGACCAGCAAGAUUGUUGUGCU